CCACAAGGUACACAUACUCACUCAAUGACGUCUAGCAGCCCCACUGACUAGUACGGUAAAGUCGUCAUUGUUCACGCAUGCGCAUUCCAGUCCAUUCUCCUUGGCUGCCAGGUUACAUCGAUGUCGCACAAACCGUUCUUGUUAUAUUAAAGGAACACUAUAGUCACCUAAAUUACUUUAGCUAAAUAAAGCAGUUUUAGUGUAUA